rnacentral:rRNA from 1 species
UAAGUUAGAAAGGGCGCACGGUGGAUGCCUUGACACUAGGAGUCGAUGAAGGACGGGACUAACGCCGAUAUGCUUCGGGGAGCUGUAAGUAAGCUUUGAUCCGAAGAUUUCCGAAUGGGGAAACCCACCAUACGUAAUGGUAUGGUAUCCUUAUCUGAAUACAUAGGGUAAGGAAGACAGACCCAGGGAACUGAAACAUCUAAGUACCUGGAGGAAGAGAAAGCAAAUGCGAUUUCCUGAGUAGCGGCGAGCGAAACGGAACAUAGCCCAAACCAAGAGGCUUGCCUCUUGGGGUUGUAGGACAUUCUAUACGGAGUUACAAAGGAACGAGGUAGACGAAGCGACCUGGAAAGGUCCGUCGUAGAGGGUAACAACCCCGUAGUCGAAACUUCGUUCUCUCUUGAAUGUAUCCUGAGUACGGCGGAACACGUGAAAUUCCGUCGGAAUCUGGGAGGACCAUCUCCUAAGGCUAAAUACUCCCUAGUGAUCGAUAGUGAACCAGUACCGUGAGGGAAAGGUGAAAAGCACCCCGGAAGGGGAGUGAAAGAGAUCCUGAAACCGUGUGCCUACAAAUAGUCAGAGCCCGUUAACGGGUGAUGGCGUGCCUUUUGUAGAAUGAACCGGCGAGUUACGAUCCCGUGCGAGGUUAAGCUGAAGAGGCGGAGCCGCAGCGAAAGCGAGUCUGAAUAGGGCGUUUAGUACGUGGUCGUAGACCCGAAACCAGGUGAUCUACCCAUGUCCAGGGUGAAGUUCAGGUAACACUGAAUGGAGGCCCGAACCCACGCACGUUGAAAAGUGCGGGGAUGAGGUGUGGGUAGCGGAGAAAUUCCAAUCGAACCUGGAGAUAGCUGGUUCUCCCCGAAAUAGCUUUAGGGCUAGCCUUAAGUGUAAGAGUCUUGGAGGUAGAGCACUGAUUGGACUAGGGGUCCUCAUCGGAUUACCGAAUUCAGUCAAACUCCGAAUGCCAAUGACUUAUCCUUAGGAGUCAGACUGCGAGUGAUAAGAUCCGUAGUCAAAAGGGAAACAGCCCAGACCGCCAGCUAAGGUCCCAAAGUGUGUAUUAAGUGGAAAAGGAUGUGGAGUUGCUUAGACAACUAGGAUGUUGGCUUAGAAGCAGCCACCAUUUAAAGAGUGCGUAAUAGCUCACUAGUCGAGUGACUCUGCGCCGAAAAUGUACCGGGGCUAAAUACACCACCGAAGCUGCGGAUUGAUACCAAUGGUAUCAGUGGUAGGGGAGCGUUCUAAGGACAGUGAAGUCAGACCGGAAGGACUGGUGGAGUGCUUAGAAGUGAGAAUGCCGGUAUGAGUAGCGAAAGACGGGUGAGAAUCCCGUCCACCGAAUGCCUAAGGUUUCCUGAGGAAGGCUCGUCCGCUCAGGGUUAGUCAGGACCUAAGCCGAGGCCGACAGGCGUAGGCGAUGGACAACAGGUUGAUAUUCCUGUACCACCUCUUUAUCGUUUGAGCAAUGGAGGGACGCAGAAGGAUAGAAGAAGCGUGCGAUUGGUUGUGCACGUCCAAGCAGUUAGGCUGAUAAGUAGGCAAAUCCGCUUAUCGUGAAGGCUGAGCUGUGAUGGGGAAGCUCCUUAUGGAGCGAAGUCUUUGAUUCCCCGCUGCCAAGAAAAGCUUCUAGCGAGAUAAAAGGUGCCUGUACCGCAAACCGACACAGGUAGGCGAGGAGAGAAUCCUAAGGUGUGCGAGAGAACUCUGGUUAAGGAACUCGGCAAAAUGACCCCGUAACUUCGGGAGAAGGGGUGCUUUCUUAACGGAAAGCCGCAGUGAAUAGGCCCAAGCGACUGUUUAGCAAAAACACAGCUCUCUGCGAAGCCGUAAGGCGAAGUAUAGGGGGUGACACCUGCCCGGUGCUGGAAGGUUAAGGAGAGGGGUUAGCGUAAGCGAAGCUCUGAACUGAAGCCCCAGUAAACGGCGGCCGUAACUAUAACGGUCCUAAGGUAGCGAAAUUCCUUGUCGGGUAAGUUCCGACCCGCACGAAAGGUGUAACGAUUUGGGCACUGUCUCAACCAGAGACUCGGUGAAAUUAUAGUACCUGUGAAGAUGCAGGUUACCCGCGACAGGACGGAAAGACCCCGUGGAGCUUUACUGUAGCCUGAUAUUGAAUUUUGGUACAGUUUGUACAGGAUAGGCGGGAGCCUUUGAAACCGGAGCGCUAGCUUCGGUGGAGGCGCUGGUGGGAUACCGCCCUGACUGUAUUGAAAUUCUAACCUACGGGUCUUAUCGACCCGGGAGACAGUGUCAGGUGGGCAGUUUGACUGGGGCGGUCGCCUCCUAAAGUGUAACGGAGGCGCCCAAAGGUUCCCUCAGAAUGGUUGGAAAUCAUUCGUAGAGUGCAAAGGCAUAAGGGAGCUUGACUGCGAGACCUACAAGUCGAGCAGGGACGAAAGUCGGGCUUAGUGAUCCGGUGGUUCCGCAUGGAAGGGCCAUCGCUCAACGGAUAAAAGCUACCCCGGGGAUAACAGGCUUAUCUCCCCCAAGAGUCCACAUCGACGGGGAGGUUUGGCACCUCGAUGUCGGCUCAUCGCAUCCUGGGGCUGUAGUCGGUCCCAAGGGUUGGGCUGUUCGCCCAUUAAAGCGGUACGCGAGCUGGGUUCAGAACGUCGUGAGACAGUUCGGUCCCUAUCCGUCGUGGGCGUAGGAAAUUUGAGAGGAGCUGUCCUUAGUACGAGAGGACCGGGAUGGACGCACCGCUGGUGUACCAGUUGUUCUGCCAAGGGCAUAGCUGGGUAGCUAUGUGCGGAAGGGAUAAGUGCUGAAAGCAUCUAAGCAUGAAGCCCCCCUCAAGAUGAGAUUUCCCAUAGCGUAAGCUAGUAAGAUCCCUGAAAGAUGAUCAGGUUGAUAGGUUCGAGGUGGAAGCAUGGUGACAUGUGGAGCUGACGAAUACUAAUAGAUCGAGGACUUAACCA